rnacentral:rRNA from 1 species
AUUGAACGCUGGCGGCAUGCUUUACACAUGCAAGUCGAACGGUAACAGCACUUCGGUGGCUGACGAGUGGCGAACGGGUGAGUAAUACAUCGGAACGUGCCUAGUAGUGGGGGAUAACUACUCGAAAGAGUAGCUAAUACCGCAUGAGAUCUAAGGAUGAAAGCCGGGGACCUUCGGGCCUUGCGCUACUAGAGCGGCUGAUGGCAGAUUAGGUAGUUGGUGGGAUAAAAGCUUACCAAGCCGACGAUCUGUAGCUGGUCUGAGAGGACGACCAGCCACACUGGGACUGAGACACGGCCCAGACUCCUACGGGAGGCAGCAGUGGGGAAUUUUGGACAAUGGGCGCAAGCCUGAUCCAGCAAUGCCGCGUGCAGGAUGAAGGCCUUCGGGUUGUAAACUGCUUUUGUACGGAACGAAAAGCCCUCUUCUAAUACAGGAGGGUCAUGACGGUACCGUAAGAAUAAGCACCGGCUAACUACGUG